rnacentral:rRNA from 1 species
UGGGGAAUAUUGCGCAAUGGGGGAAACCCUGACGCAGCAACGCCGCGUGAAGGAUGAAGGUUUUCGGAUUGUAAACUUCUUUAGUCGGGGACGAAAAAAAUGACGGUACCCGAAGAAUAAGCCACGGCUAACUACGUGCCAGCAGCCGCGGUAAUACGUAGGUGGCAAGCGUUGUCCGGAAUUACUGGGUGUAAAGGGCGUGUAGGCGGGAAUGCAAGUCAGAUGUGAAAUUCCGAGGCUUAACCUCGGCGCUGCAUCUGAAACUGUGUUUCUUGAGUGAUGGAGAGGAAAGCGGAAUUCCUAGUGUAGCGGUGAAAUGCGUAGAUAUUAGGAGGAACACCAGUGGCGAAGGCGGCUUUCUGGACAUUAACUGACGCUGAGGCGCGAAAGCGUGGGGAGCAAACAGG